CGAGCUGCACCGGCCCUCCCACAGGCUUUACACCGUUUCUGGACGACCUGCAAUACUAACACAUGACACGCCUAACUGGUGGACUCCCUGGAUGCAGAAGCCAUGGGUACAGAGGCCCGACAGAUAUGCUAGGGACACAAUAAGUACCCAGGAAGCAGGGUCUGUGUCUGUUCAGAGGAACCAAAAACAAAGGAGACGAUGAGAAAACAGCAGCUUUCCAGACCCCCUGGAAAAUGGGGCUCCUGAAACCCAGCAGUUCUUGCGCCUGGGGGUGCUGAGAACCCCAGGGAGUGUUCUGAAGCCGGACCUGGCAGGGAGUCCCAGGCAGCUCGAGUGCUCUGCAAGACCAGCUUUCCCACACUUGCCUGAGCAGAGCCCUCCCGGACAGCGAGUGUCAGACACAGAGGGUGCACGUGAGGGUCACUCCGCCACAGAGAGCAAGAAGGUCCCCCAAAGGCCACUUCAUCAUUACCAGGCCGACUGCUCUCUCACCCAGGACAGCACCCGGGAAACUGCUGUGGAAGGAAGGGAUCCCUGCCCCCACUGCAUCCUGCACUCCCUGCGCACUCCUGCCUGGGACAAAUCCCCGCUAUGGACCUACUCUGUGCCGGGCACACGGUGGAUCAAUACAGACCCGGUCCCAGGCACACGGUGCGGCAGAAUCUAAGGAUGAUCCCGAGGCACAAGUGAGACACCUCCUUGUCCAGUGAUGGAGGUGACCGGGAGAGAACAGAGGGGGCUGAUUCCCCCCGGGGGCUCGGAAGUGCUCCCUGAGGGACAGAGAUCUCAGUGAAGAUCCGAAAGAUUAGGGUGCAUCAUCUCGGGGAAGGUGCGACAGGAGAAAUGAGCAAGAAGUGGGCCAGGCUCCGUGGGCAGAGGCAGGGAGGGGACAGGGCCAUGGGCUGAAGAAAAGGCAGGUGUCUGAACGCCUCGAAGAACGGGGUGCCAAGACAGGUACACGUCUGCCUGGGCUGAUGCACCCCCACACCAGCUUCCUAGUUCUCACAGCAGUCACACACCAGCCCCCACUGGACUCACUUGUCAGACUCCCCCUCGUUAUGACAUGCGCUUCAGGACAAGGAAUUUUAUGGUUCAGUGAGCCGACAGCAGGGUGCUACCUUGCAGGUCUCAGGUAAAAGUUUGUUGAAUGAAUUAACGAACUGAGAAGACACUACCCUAAGAGGACAAGUAGCAGCCGCCCUGGAGAUUCUAAUUGGGAAGAGGAAACCUGAGCCAAUAAAAAUGUCCUACAUAUGGAUAAUGACCCUGAUAAUACGAAAAAGGUAUAACCUGCGAGGAAGGCACUGUCGCGACCCUCAUUUCAAAAAGCCAGGGCUGAAGUCACCCACAGGCGGGGGCGGAACCAAGGGUUGGAACCCUGCGGCAGCCCUACCCUCCCAAGCGUCCUGGUGCCUCCAUCUGGCCUUUCCGUUGCUGCCCGCGCCUGCUUCCCCCAGGGCCCGGCG